ACCUUCGCGUUUUCCAGACCAGCCAUCUCUGUAUUUUUAUUUUACUUAAUGAAACAAAUUAUUGGUGUAACAUCUUAAAAUCAAUAUAAGAUAUUAAGAUGUUACACCAAUAAUUUGUUUCAUUAAGUAAAAUAAAAAUACAGAGAUGGCUGGUCUGGAAAAUGUGAAGGU